rnacentral:rRNA from 1 species
AUGAACGCUGGCGGCGUGCCUAAUACAUGCAAGUCGCGCGAACAGACGAGGAGCUUGCUCCUCUGACGUUAGCGGCGGACGGGUGAGUAACACGUGGAUAACCUACCUAUAAGACUGGGAUAACUUCGGGAAACCGGAGCUAAUACCGGAUAAUAUAUUGAACCGCAUGGUUCCAUAGUGAAAGACGGUUUUGCUGUCACUUAUAGAUGGAUCCGCGCCGCAUUAGCUAGUUGGUAAGGUAACGGCUUACCAAGGCAACGAUGCGUAGCCGACCUGAGAGGGUGAUCGGCCACACUGGAACUGAGACACGGUCCAGACUCCUACGGGAGGCAGCAGUAGGGAAUCUUCCGCAAUGGGCGAAAGCCUGACGGAGCAACGCCGCGUGAGUGAUGAAGGUCUUCGGAUCGUAAAACUCUGUUAUUAGGGAAGAACAAAUGUGUAAGUAACUAUGCACGUCUUGACGGUACCUAAUCAGAAAGCCACGGCUAACUACGUG